rnacentral:pre_miRNA from 2 species
UGAACCCAGGAGGCGGAGGUUGCAGUGAGUCAAGAUCGCACCAUUUCACUCCAGCCUGGGUGACAGAGUGAGACUUGGUCUCAAAACAAUUUUUAAUUUUCUUUUUUUUUGAGAUGGGGUCUUGCUCUUUUGCCCAGGCUGGAGUGUAGUGGUGUGAUCUUGGCUCACUGCAAGCUCCACCUCCCGAGGUCA